AUCCGAAAGCAUGGUGGCUCAGGACGAACGCUGGCGGCGUGCUUAACACAUGCAAGUCGAACGAUGAUGCCCAGCUUGCUGGGCGGAUUAGUGGCGAACGGGUGAGUAAUACGUGAGUAACCUGCCCUUGACUCUGGGAUAAGCCUGGGAAACUGGGUCUAAUACUGGAUACUACCUCUUACCGCAUGGUGGGUGGUGGAAAGGGUUUUACUGGUUUUGGAUGGGCUCACGGCCUAUCAGCUUGUUGGUGGGGUAAUGGCUCACCAAGCCGACGACGGGUAGCCGGCCUGAGAGGGUGACCGGCCACACUGGGACUGAGACACGGCCCAGACUCCUACGGGAGGCAGCAGUGGGGAAUAUUGCACAAUGGGCGGAAGCCUGAUGCAGCGACGCCGCGUGAGGGAUGACGGCCUUCGGGUUGUAAACCUCUUUCAGUAGGGAAGAAGCGAGAGUGACGGUACCUGCAGAAGAAGCGCCGGCUAACUACGUGCCAGCAGCCGCGGUAAUACGUAGGGCGCAAGCGUUGUCCGGAAUUAUUGGGCGUAAAGAGCUCGUAGGCGGUUUGUCGCGUCUGCUGUGAAAGCCCGGGGCUUAACCCCGGGUCUGCAGUGGGUACGGGCAGACUAGAGUGCAGUAGGGGAGACUGGAAUUCCUGGUGUAGCGGUGAAAUGCGCAGAUAUCAGGAGGAACACCGAUGGCGAAGGCAGGUCUCUGGGCUGUUACUGACGCUGAGGAGCGAAAGCAUGGGGAGCGAACAGGAUUAGAUACCCUGGUAGUCCAUGCCGUAAACGUUGGGCACUAGGUGUGGGGGACAUUCCACGUUUUCCGCGCCGUAGCUAACGCAUUAAGUGCCCCGCCUGGGGAGUACGGCCGCAAGGCUAAAACUCAAAGGAA
rnacentral:rRNA from 1 species